AAAUCUGUACAUAUACGCCUCAAACAGAUCUUUCACCAAGUGCUAUAUUCACUAAAUCUCUGUUGGUCUCUAUUACCAAUGAUAGAAAAAUAAAACAACAUGCUUAAACAUUCAUAAUACAAAUUUGAACCAUUUUAUCAAAAAAAUAUUCAGGAAUUAAAGUUGAACUACACAUAUAAAGGGAACUUCAAAUUUAAACUAAAUGGAUUUUCAACUAAAUUACGACUAUAAUAAGAAAUAAAAUUACAUAGUCCUGACUGAUUGAGUUAACUACACUUGAUGAAAUGCUAUAAUAACUGUAACCUUCGAUUUCAUCCACAACGCUUGUCAAUUUGACGAACAAUAGCUUACAACAUUUCAAAAUGGCUUGAUUUGGGUUUGAGACUCACAGAUCUGGCCUAUUGAUGGCCAGACCCAUAAGUUGAAGCCAUGACAUAACAUUAUCAGUCCUUCACAAAUAGCUUGACAUGUUGUCUUAACAAACCAUUAGGAAGUCUAUAGAUUAGAAUUCAUGAUCAACAAAUUAUGAUGUGGAGAUGCCAAUAAUAGAAACUAAUAGUAAUACAUGUGCUUAAGGACAUUCAUAACAGCAGCAAACAGGUCAGAGGUGAGCGAAUGCCAAUUCAAGCCAUUCAAAUACUUAGAACAUUGCAUAAGAAGAUAUAUAACAUCAUGUAAGCACAACGACCAUCUGAAUUUCACAGAUUUCAAGCUCAAAUUGAUUGUGCUAAGCUCAGAAUCAUACAAAGUUAUCAAUGUGUACCUUAAAGCAGCAAAAGUAAGUAGAAGAGAAAAUAAGUCUCUGAAAUUCUGAGAAGAAACAGCAGCAAGAACACAAAGCAGAAAAACCAAAACCACAGCAGCCUCAAACUCAGACCAUGAAUCCCAGCAAAAGAACAUUGGGAAAUGAAAAGAAACACAGCCUGGAUUUUUUUUCUUUUGUUUUCUAGCUUUAAACUUAAAAAGAAGAUCAGAUUGAAAAAUGAGGAGAAAGAGUCUUGGAAUAUUUUUUUCAGGGCUCUCUUGCGCGUCCGAAAAUUCCUGUUUUAGAAUGCAGAAUGAGUCCUAUUAUAUAGGCUGUGUGUGUGUAAUCAGAGAGAAUGAGAGAGAGUCCCCAAAAAAAAUAGAAUUUGUCAGGCCCUCACUAAAAUUUAGGAAAAUAGCAUCUUUCAAAACUGAAUUUGGACAAUUGUCCUUGUUUCUAGAUGGUUCUUUUUAUUUCUUACCAUUUAACUUCUGAAAAUUAUUUCUUGUGACCCCAACUUGAAAUGAACUCUGAUUUUUAAAAAAAAAUGCAUUUUAGUCCCUUCUAGAGACUUCCCCAACAAACAAAUCAGAUUCCCUAAUUUUCCAAAUCCCUUUGACCCCUUUAACUCCUAUUAAUUACACAUGAGUCAUAGCAGAAAGAAAUCAUGUAAAUCAGUCCCAAUAAACAAAGAAGCAAAAUUAAUCUAAUUAACUCAAUAAUUAAGACUAAUUAGCAUGCAAUUGAGCUGUUAAAAUCACAUAAACCCUUAAAACAAAACAGACAUGUUGCGCCUUAAAACAAAUAGCCAAAAUGUUAAUUUACUGUUAAUUAACUAAUUACUAAGCUAAACUAAUUAAACUGAGAUAAACGUUCAUCAAACAAGUUCUGAUUAAACACCUAAAACACAUUGUUCUUCUCUCUUUUUUUUUAAUCUUUCUUAAAGCAAACAAAAUAACAAAACAAGAUAAAGAGGGCAAGGAUGUACCUAGUAAAGAAAAACAAAACUACCCAUCUUGAAGCGAAACAAGAGGCUCGACCGGAUUCCGAUGAUUCCGUAAUAAACUAAAGCUUACAUUAAUUAAUUGUUCUUGACAAGAACAAAUAAUUAAUGUUAGUUUCAACUCAAAACAGCUUGAACUUGAUGAAGGAAUCGGAAAGAACUAAAUUAGGUUUUCUGGCCGAUUUUAGAUCUAAAAUUCGAGGAUUUUGAGUGGUGUUUUAGGAAAAUUGAAGGUAGAUUUGGAUUGAGGAUGAAGUGAGGAGUGUGGGGUGUGAAUUUGGGCGGAUUUGGAGGUCGUUUGGUGGUGCCAAGAUGGCGACCGCUGGUGGAGGUUUGUGGGAGUUUGGGGGCGGCUAGGGUUAGGCUGAGGGAGAGAGAUGGAGAAGUGAGAGGGAUCUGAGGGGUUUGGAAGAGGGGGGGGGGUCUCCGACAGAUAUAGGGGAUUGGAGAGUGGAGUUGUGGGUCGUUCGAUCAAAGGAAAUCAACGGCUAAGAUCGACGUUACGAAAACGACGUCGUUUUGGUUUAGUGAGGAAUCUGGACCGGAUUGGGGAGGCGUUGGACCUGGGCCGCGUGAGUUUGAGGGGAAUCUUAGCAGUUGGGCUUCCUUGAGAAUGGUCCAAUACAAAUACAACCCCUUUUCUUUCUUUGUUUUUCUCUUUCUUUUCCUUUAAUUUAAAGUUCUAAUCAAAUUAAUUAAAAACUAAAUUAAAUCCUAAUUUAAAUCUAAUUUGUAGAAAUAAACUUAGUUAUCUAUUUUACUAUUUAAAUAAUUAAUUAAUUUAAACUAAUGAAAGCAAAAUUACUAAUUUGCAAUUAAGAGCUAAAAUGUAAAAAUGACCCAUAUUUUUUGUGAUUUUUCGUUUAAUAAUGCAAUUAACUCAUGUAAUUAAAUAAUAAUAUGCAAUUAAAUCUAAGAUGCUAUGCAAUGAAUAUUUUAUAUAUUUAUGGUAUUUUUUAUAAUUUUAAAUAUUAAAUAAGUAACUAAAUGCAGACAAAAUUAACCAAAAAAUCCUAAAAUUCAAUAAAAACGAAAAUAAUUUAGAAAGAUCUACUUUUGAACUUUGUAGGAGUAAUUUUAGGAAGACAAAAAUCAGGUGCUCACAACUGCCCCUCUUUGCUCCGAAACACGAAGAGUUUUUGGGCAAAGAUAAAGUGAGCAAAUACGAGCAAUUUUUUGUCCUUUUGGAUACUCCAUGGGAAGCGUUAUUAAAAAGUCUGACUGAACCUUGCUUCGGAGGUUGUCUACAUAUUCUUGGCUAUAAAGGAAUCAAGUCAGUGUAGUUCUGAAAGUUUUAGUAGCUGGGACUACCGAGAAGCUGUGAUUUCACUGUUGUUGCUGUUGUUACUGCUUGCUGACCUCAUUAUUAUACCAAAAUCAAAAUGAAAAAAAACUAAGCAAGUCUAUCAGCUAUGAGUUACAAGAUUCCUAUCUAUAUGUGAUGACCCAAAAUGUCAUCUUUUUUUAAUGAUUAAUUUUGUGUUCUAAGACCUCGAAAAUAAAAAUACUAUUUAUCAUUACUCGACUUGCGUGCGCAGUUCGUAAAAUUUUUCAGAAAGUUUUUAUGUGAAAAUGGAUUAAAAUAUGAAUUAGAGCUUUAAAACUCAACUGAGUUGACUUUGGUCAAUAUUUUGAGCAAACGAACUCGGAUCAGUAUUUUGAUAAUUCCGGUAGGUCCGUAUCGUGAAUUGGGACUUAGGCGUAUGCCCGGAAUUAAAUUCUGAGGUUCCUAGCCCGAGAUAUGGAAGUCCGUAGUGGAAUUAGGCUUGAAAUUUCGAAAGUUGAAUUUUAAGAAAGUUUGACCGAGGGGGCUGACUUUUUGAUAUUGGGAUCGAAAUCUGAUUCUGAAAAUUUUCAUAGCUCCGUUAUGUCAUUUAUGACUUGCGUGCAAAAUUUGAGGUCAAUCGGACUUGAUUUGCUAGGUUCCGGUGUUGUUUGUAGAAAUUAAAAGUUUCAAUAUUCAUUAGGCUUGAAUCUAUGUGUGAUUCAUAUUUUUAGUGUUGUUGGAUGUGAUCUGAAGAUUCGACUAAGUUCAUAUGGUGUUUUAGAACUUGUUGGUAUAUUUGGUUGAGGUCCCGAGGGCCUCGGGUGUGUUUCGGAUGCUCAACGGGUCAUUUUUGGACUUAGAGAAGUAGCAGAUUUUUCUGGUUUUUGUUGCAGAAGAUUGUUCUUCGCGUUCGCGAACGUGUGGUCAGUGGAAGCAUCACGAAAGCGAGGAGUAGGACGCGUUCGCGAAGAGUGUUUUCUGAGUGUGAGGUUUUGUUCUUCGCGUUCGCGAAGGGGAGGACGCGAACGCAAAGGUAUGGUCUGUGUGUGCAUCGCGAACACGUGAGUGGCGUCGCGUUCGCGAAGGAGAGCGAGGCAAGGAUCGCGUUCGCGAAGAAGAAACCACUGGACAGAAUGUUUAAGUUCAAAAAUGGGACUUCGUCCCAUUUUUCAUUUUUAACGAUUUGGAGCUCGGAUUGUGGCGAUUUUUGAGAGAUUUUCAGAUAAAACGUUGGGGUAAGUGUUCUUAACUCAAUCUUUGUUAGAUUACCCGAAUCUAUCACUGUUUUUAACAAUUAAUUGGUGAUUUAAGUUGAAAAAAAUUCGAAAACCCUCUUGGAUAGAUUUGAGGAUUUGAGGGUCGAACUGUUAUUGGAAUUUAGUCAUUUUGGUAUGAUUAGGCUCGUGGUUGAAUGGGCGUUCAUAUUUCGUAACUUUCGUCGAAUUCCGAGACAUGGGCCCCAUGGGCCAUUUUUGAGUUAAUUUCGGAUUUUUAUUGAAAAUGUAAUAUUUUCUUAUAGAAUUAAUUCUAUAAUUUUUGUUGACUGUAUCAAAUUAUUUAUGACUAGAUACGAGUCGACCGGAAUCGAAAAAUCGAGGAAAAGGCAUAUUACUUGAUUAAAUUGGAGCAAGUCGAGGUAAGUGACUUGUCUAACCUUGUGUGGGAGAAAUUCCCCUAGGAUUGGUAUUAAAUGUAAUGUGAUGAAAGUCGUGUACACGAGGUGACGAGUGUGUACACGGACUAAAUGUGAAGGAUUAUGUGUUCAAAUAAUGAAGAUCUUUGUUGCAUAUUAAUUAAAUUAUUAAAUCUUGAUAUAUUCUCCAUUAUUGAUUUGAUUUGUAUACCUUAAAUUUGCUUGACUUUUUCCUGCUAAUUGUUUUACCUGUUUAAUUGAAACUUGGUUUCUUUUAUAUUGUGCAUUAUUUGAAGGUUAAUUUUCUUUAAAUUAAAUAUUAUUAAUAUGAAGUAUUUGACAUUUCUAAAUUUGAUAUUGAAGCAACGUAUUAAAGAUUUUGAAAUAUUAUUUUUCUGAAUUAUUUAUUCCUGAAUAUUUCGUAAGAUUUUUGAAUUAUUUUGGUAUGAGCCGUGAGCUCUUUAUUAUUGAAAAAUAUUGUUGAUGAUUUAUUUUUGAAAAAAUUAAAAUAUUGGGCACUUGAGGUGCAGAUUGUGAUAUAUUGUGAUAUUGAUAUGCAUGCGGUGGUAUAAGGUCUGGGUAUUGAAACGCAUGCGGUAAGAUAUGGGUGGCUUGAUACGCGUGGCUAGUAGGGGUGACUACUAGAAUUCAUGCGGUGUGAUUAGGGUGGCUAAAAUGCGGGAUGCUAUUUCGAAAAAAAUAUUUUAUUUAAAUGAAUUGUGAAGGCUCCCGCGGUGAUAUAAGAAAAUGAGAUAUUGUGAAUUUAUUUAUGAUUUGGGACUACGAGGCGGUACCUCGGUAGUGCCCUUGUUGAUAUUGAUUUAUGGCCAUAGUUGCCUUCGAUUAAUUGUUGUGAUUUUCAUAAAGUUAAAAGGAAUUCUGUUUUGAUUCCACGAGAUAUUAUUUGCAAUUAUUUGGUGUCAUUAAAUGUAACAUACUAUUUGAUUCAUUUCCAUCGUCAUUUUAUCUUAUUAAAUUGUUUAAACAUUUUUUCCAUGUCAUUAUCUAUUCUCCAGUAGGGCCUGACCUGACCUCGUCACUACUCUACUGAGGUUAGGCUUGGCACUUAUUGGGUACCGCUGUGAUGUAUUCAUACUACGCUUCUGCACAACCUUUUGUGCAGAUCCAAGUACAUCUUACCAGUCUAGACGUCAGUGAGUUACCUGCACACGGAGACUUCGAGGUAUAUCUGCCAGCGUCCGCAGACUCCGGAGUCCCCUUCUGUCAUUUUAUGUUGCUUUCUUAUUUUUCUUUAGACCUUGAUACAUAGCAACAUUGAGAAUAAAUUUUUAAAAGCUUGUGACUGAUUUCUACCGGGUUUUGGGAGUUGUAAUUAUUUGAAUUGUAGUUUAUUUAUUUCAGAUAUUUAUGAUUAUUCCGCAUUAAUAGGCUUACCUAGUCUUAGAGACUCGGUGCCAUCACGACCUCCCACGGAGGGAAUUUGGGGUCGUGACCCUAUAGGUCUUCAGAAACUUGAUUUUGAAUCUUCUACAGUUCUGUUGUGCAUCUCGAAUUGUCGACUCGCAUUUUUGAGGCGAGCUUCUGCUACCUCUAACUUGAAUUGACCCUAUUCUUCAGGCGGGCUCCUACUACUGUCUUAAAGGUUGAAGUUAAUUCUGAAGUGACUUCCCUCGUUUUUCAGGUGGGUGCCUGAUGCUGACUUAAAAAUUAAAAUAAAUUCCCUCGUUCUCCAGGUGAGCGCCUGAUGCUGACUUAAAACUUGAAAUAAUUUCCCUCAUUUUUCAGGUGGGCGCAUGAUGCUGACUUAAAAUUGAAAUUUUCAGGUGGGCGCCUGAUAAUUACUUGCACUUGAAAUAAGUUCCCCCAUUCUCUAGGUGGGCGCAUGAUGCUGACUUAAAACUUGAAAUAAUUUUCCUCAUUUUCCAGGUGGGCGCCUGCCAAUGACUUGAACUCGAAAUAAAUUCCCUCAUUUUUCAGAUGGGCGCCUGCUCAUGACUUGAACUGAAAUGAAUUCCCUCAUUUUCCAGGUGGGCGCCUGCUCAUGUCUUGAACUUGAAAUAAACUCCCUCAUUCUCCAGGUGGGCGCCUGCCAAUGACUUAAAACUUGAAAUAGAUUCCCUCAUUCUCCAGUUGGGCGUCUGCUGACUCAAAACUUGAAAUAAAUUCCCUCGCUUUCCAGGUGGGUUCCUAAUGUUGACUUAACAUUUGAAAUGAAUUCCCUCGUUGUCCAUGUGGGCGCCUGCUCAUGACUUGAACUUGAAAUAAACUCACUCAUUCUCCAGGUAGGGCGCCUGCGCUGACUUAAAACUUGAAAUGAAUUCCCUCAUUCUCCAGGUGGGCGCCUACAAUCACAUUAACACAGACAAAACAAAGAAACUUUUUUGCCCCAGUUCGUACCAGGAACCUUCAUUGAGUGUUAGUUGAAUCCCAUUAUCCAGGAGGGUCCUGAAAAUUAAAAACUAGAUCCCAUUGUCUAGGAGGAUCCUGAAAAUCUGAACUUAUCUGGAACAUGCUUUCCUCAUGGAGUAUCCCUAUACAGCAAACACAAUUUGUUACCCAUGUUUCACUCAAAGAAAAUUUCGUCAGUUUUAAAAUGUGGUGGUUAGUUUGUGGCAUCCUUGUUGAAGGUAUCUUCUUCUGCCGCUACCACGCUUAAUUCUGAUUAGCUGCUUCGGCUAACAAAGAAUUGUUUGACAUUUUUGAUCGAUCCUUGACCACAAAAAACCUCUGAAUCUGAAUCCCUUACACUCAACUUGUUAUAUGGUACUUUUAUUUUGACAAUUGUUGAACCUUUGCAUUUCCUUAAAAUUCACGAAUCACUUGACCACCUGAACUUCAAUUACCGCCACAUUGCUCAUUUUGAAUCAUGUCACUUGUGAUGUGUUUGGCUGAAUCUCGCUUGGUGCAAUUAAAAAGUUGGUAAUGGGCUUUAAAGUCCUUUCUUUCUUGCAUAACAAAGACUAACUUGGCAGGGACUUAGAAAAAUAGACCCAAAAGAAAACGAAGCGAAGUGACUUCGAGAAUUAGGAAUAAAGUAGAAAUUUUUGAACAAAUAUGACUAUUUGAAGAAAAAUGGAAAAGAGACUUAUCUGAAUGAAGCAGUUGGCUCCAAUGAUCAUGACGUGCAUUUCGGAUUGAUCAGCCAAAUCCAUCCAACUAAUCACAUUUUAGUUCAUGCCAUUUCUUCAUACUUCAAACCGGGUUUCCAUAAUUCAAUUUCUCUGUAAAGUCAUGAACCUCAAUCGGCUUGUAGUGCCCCGAGGGCCAGCAAACCUCUCUCAUUUGCUCCUAUUUCAACUUACAGUUGCCUUACAGUGCCCGUAAGAGUUUUCACCAAUAAGACUCUCUCAUUAUGAAUUUUCUCUCAACUCACCAUCGCCCUACGGUGCCCGUGAGGGUUUUCACCAAUAAGACUCUCUCAUUUAUUCAUUUUUCCUUAUGCCCAUGAACAAAGGUGCUACCCAUGAUGUAAAUCAUACCUCUAUCUCACUUGACUUGGCAUCCUAAAAGUUGAUCAGAAGGUCUUUCUUUAGACUGUAGUGUAGGUUUUGGACAGGGUUAGAAAGAAAGGGUGGCAUGAAGGCUCAAAAUAAUUUAAGAUGAAGGGGUUCAAGAUUACAACUUUUGGAAUCAGAUCUUUUUAUAAAACUAAAACUUCUGCCCCAGUUUCUUCGAAUCUGGGGAAUUUUGAAUUUUUAUUUUGAUGGGACCGACCCAUAUAAGGCUGUCUACGUAUCCUUAACAGGAAUCAGGUCGAACGUAGUUCAAACUAGUAAAAGUUGUUUAUUUUUGUUACUUUGCUUUUCUUUUCUUUUUUUUUCUCCUUUCUUUUUCUCUUUUCUUUCUUUUGCUUUUCUCUUCUUCUUCUUCUUUUUUUUAUUUUUCUUUUCUAUUUCCAACUCUACUUCUGAUUCCAAAAGAGGGGUAUGAAAGAAAAUAAAUAAGGCUCAAAAAGGGGUAACAAAUGAUAAAAUUAUUUGGGAUAGCAGAAUAAAAUGCCUUCGUCAUUCCAACUUUGAAACAUGCCUAGUACAAAAUGCGAUUGAAGAUAAGUAAAGAAAUCAUACAUAAUAUCUCUUGGCUGCAUCAGAAUUGAUAGCCAUAUCCACACAUUUACCUUCUAUGUAUGUUAAAUACAAAGCACCAUUGGGCAACACCUUUGUCACAAUGAACGACCCCUGCCAGUUUGGGGCGAACUUGCCUUUAGCUUCAGCCUGAUGUGGAAGAUGCGUUUCAAUACCAGCUGGCCCAAUUCAAAUUUCCGGGGACGCACCUUCUUGUUGUAUGCUCUUGCUAUUCUUUUCUGAUACAAUUGACCACGACAUACUGCUGCCAAUCUUUUUUCAUCAAUCAAACUCAACUGCUCUAGUCGAGUUUUGACCCAUUCAUCAUCAAUUCCAGCUUCAGCAACGAUCCGAAGGGAUGGAAUCUCAACUUCUGCAGGUAUAACUGCCUCAGUUCCAUAUACCAGCAAAUAAGGAGUUGCACCUACUGAAGUACGAAUAGUAGUGCGAUAACCUAGUAAAGCAAAAGUAACUUUUCAUGCCAUUGCCUGGAACCUUGCACCAUCUUACGAAGUAUCUUCUUUACGUUCUUGUUAACAGCCUCAACGGCUCCGUUUGGCUUAGGACGAUAUGGAGUGGAGUUGAUGCAUAAUCUUGAAUUGUUGACAUACCUCUUUCAUCAAAUGAUUGUUGAGGUUAGCAUCAUUGUCUGUGAUGAUUACCUUGGGAAUUCCGAACCGGCAGAUGAUAUUUGAAUGAACAAAAUCUACCACCGCCUUCUUGGUCACGGACUUGAAAGUUACAGCUUUGACCCACUUGGCAAAGUAAUCAAUGGCCACCAGAAUAAACCUAUGCCCAUUUGAUGCUGCCAGCUCAAUUGGUCCAAUGACAUCCAUGCCCCAAGCAACAAAGGGCCAAGGUGCAGACAUUGUGUGUAACUCGGAUGGAGGGGAAUGAAUCAAAUCACCAUGCACCUGGCAUUGAUGACAUUUGCGAACAAAGUUGAUGCAAUCUCGUUCCAUGGUGAGCCAAUAAUAACCUGCUCAAAGAAUCUUCUUUGCCAAGACAUACCCACUCAUAUGCGGUCCGCAAACUUCGGAAUGCACUUCGGCCAUGAUGGUAAAAGCUUGUUUAGCAUCUACGCACCUUAGUAGUCCUAGAUCUGGAGUCCUCUUGUACAAGAUUCCCCCCAUUUAAUAAAAAUCCACUAGCCAGACGUCGAAUGGUUCUCUUUUGAUCACCUAUGGCAUGUACCGGAUAUACCCCCGACUUGAUGUAUUCUUUGACAUCAUGGAACCAAGGCACACCAUCAAGUUCCUCCUCAACCACAUUGUAAUAGGCAUGCUGAUCACGGACUUGGAUAUGCAGAGGGUCGACAUAAGUCUUAUCUGGAUGGUGUAACAUUGAUGCUAGAGUAGCCAAAGCAUCGGCGAUCUCAUUAUGAAUCCUGGGAAUAUGCCUGAAUUCUACUGACCUAAAUCGUUGACAAAGAUCAUGCAGACACUGUCGAUACAGUAUGAGCUUCAAAUCCCGAGUCUCUCAUUCUCCCUGAAUCUGGUGAACCAACAAAUCUGAAUCUCCCAAAACCAAUAUUUCCUGAACUCCCAUGUCUAUAGCUAGUCUCAAACCCAGAAUGCAUGCCUCGUACUCAGCCAUGUUGUUGGUGCAAUAAAAUCAAAGUUGAGCUAUUACGGGGUAGUGAUGCCUUGUUUCAGAAAUGAGUACAACCCCUAUUCGGACGCCUUUCAUGUUAGCAGCUCCAUCAAAGAAGAGUUUCCAACCUGGCUUUUCCUCAUGGUCAACCUCGUCAACAUACAUUACCUCUUCAUUAGGAAAAUAAGUCUUCAAUGGUUCAUACUCUUCAUCCACCGGAUUCUCGGCCAAGUGGUCGGCCAAGGCUUGGGCUUUCAUCGCGGUCCGGGUCACAUAGAUGAUGUCAAAUUCUGUGAGUAAAAUCUGCCACUUUGCAAGUCUUCCUGUGGGCAUAGGCUUCUGAAAGAUAUACUUUAGAGGAUCCAUACAAGAAAUGAGAUAAGUAGUGUAGGAUGACAGAUAAUGCUUUAAUUUUUGUGCUACCCAAGUCAGGGCGCAACACGUCCUUUCAAGAAGAGUAUACUUAACCUCAUAAGGAGUGAACUUUUUGUUGAGAUAAUAAAUGGCUUGCUCUUUCUUGCCUGAGAUGUCGUGUUGACCCAGUGCACAACCAAAAGAAUUAUCCAGGACUGUCAGAUAGAGAAUCAAAGGUCUCCCAUGCUCUGGCGGUACCAGCACAGGUGGGUUUGACAGGUACUUCUUGAUCUUAUCAAAUGCUUCCUGACACUCGUCAGUCCACUUAACCGCAGCAUUUUUCCUCAACAACCUAAAAAUGGGCUCAGAAGUCGUUGUGAGUUGAGCAAUAAACCUGUUGAUGUAGUUUAACCUCCCGAGUAGGCUCAUCACCUCAGUUUUAUUCUUUGGAGGUGGUAAUUCUUAGAUGGCCUUGAUCUUUGACGGGUCCAACUCAAUACCGCGUCGACUGACUAUGAAUCCCAAUAGUUUUUCGGACGGGACACCAAAUGCACAUUUCGCUGGAUUGAGCUUGAGGUUGUACCUACGGAGCCUUUGGAAAAACUUUCUCAAAUCCCCAACAUGGUCGGACUGCUUCUUUGAAUUUAUGAUCACAUCAUCUACAUAAACCUCAAUUUUCUUGUGUAUCAUGUCAUGAAAUAUGGUAGUCAUUGCCCUUAUGUAAGUUGCCCCAGCAUUCUUCAAACCGAAUGGCAUUACCCGGUAGCAAUAUGUCCCCCAUGGCGUGAUGAAUGCUAUCUUUUCUCCGUCUUCUUCAUCCAUCAGGAUCUGGUGAUAUCCUGCAUAGCAAUCCACAAAAGACCCGAUCUCGUGCUUGGCACAAUUGUCAAUCCAAAUGUGGAUGUUUGGUAAUGGAAAGUUAUUCUUUGGACUUGCCUUGUUGAGAUCACGAUAAUCAAUACAUACCCUGGUCUUAUCAUCUUUCUUUGGUACUGGCACAACAUUAGCUAACCAAGUGGGAUAUCGAGUGACCCGAAUGACCUUUGCGUCAAGCUGCAUUGUGAUUUCUUCUUUGAUCUUCACACUCAUGUCAGUCUUGAACUUCAUUAACUUUUGCUUGACUGGAGGGAAUGCCGGAUCAAUUGGCAAUUUAUGAACUACCAAAUCAGUGCUCAAACCCAGCAUGUCGUCAUACGACCAUGCAAAAGUAUCUUUAUAUUCAAAUAGUGCUUUGAUUAUUUCUUCCUUGAUUUGCGGUUUCAGAUGCACACUUAUCUUGGUUUCCCUGAUAUUAUCUUGAUCUCCUAAAUUGAUUGCUUCAGUUUUAUUCAGAUUAGGCUUGGCUUUUUCUUCAAAGUGAUUUAGUUCUCUACUGAUUUCCUGAAAUGCUGCUUCUUCAUCAUAUUCUGUUUCAUCACACUCUACUUCUUGGAUUGUUAUUUUAGAAUUAGAUUGGCUUUUAAGAUUUGGCUGAAAAUUCCUCAUGCAUGUCAUGUCAUUGAAACCAGCAUAAAAAGAAUUGUACAGAAAAAAAAAGAAACAAAAACAAAAAUGAAACGCUAUUAGGAAUAAUGGAAAAACGGAAAAUUGUAUUUCAUUGAAAAUAAAAAGAUAGAAAGGUUUGUACAUCAAAACAAGCAAACAUAAAAAUCUGGAUUACAACCCUGGGAUAAAUAAAAUGACAGAAAGGAAAACAAAGAAAACUACUAAAACUCCUUCCGGGUGGGGAGAGGAGUAGCUUUCCAAUUUCUAAGCUUCACAUUUGGCCCAACAAGCUGCACAUCGGCAUUACUGGAGCCUUCCCCGAUUUCUACCAUAUUAACCUCAUCAAAAAGACUCUGGAAUCUCUUGAUCAGCUCUUCAUCAAAGUCGACCACAGGUUUUGGGACUGCUGAUAUUGGGUGUUUUGCGAUCCCUGGCUUGACAAAAGACUUGGAGAUGUGUGGAACAGGAUUAGGAAGUGACCAUGCCUUUCUGUUCAAAUUUUUAGCCCUUUUCACGUCCUUCCCUGUGAGUGUGAAUCCCAAACCAAAUAUACCGAAACUUUCAUGUGGACACAUCGGAUGUGCAAUACCUUGCAGAGAUGAACCCAGACCUUUGCCUGGCACAAAAUCAUUCUUCAAUAUUUCAUUUGCUACCGUGACGGACGCGGAGGGUAGCUUUGGACCCGUAAUGCAUCCUCCCUCAGGAAUCUUCUCGACAGAUACUGUUUUGAACGUUUGGUAAACCCAUGGCCCUUUAUCAUCUUCAGCUUCAAUAAAUGGAACAGUUGUGUCAUUGUAAGCAGAUAAGUUCUCAUCACCGUGCACAACUAUUUCCUGCCUGUCCCAUUCGAACUUUACCAUUUGAUGCAGAGAAGACGGGAUUGCCUUGGCAGUAUGUAUCCAGGGCCUGCCCAAUAACAAGUUGUAGGAGACAGCCACAUCUAGCACUUGGAACUCCAUAGUGAACUCAACUGGCCCUAUUGACAAUUCGAGCAUUAUAUCACCGACAAAAUCUUUCCCUCCUCCAUCAAAGCCUCGAACACAUAUAUUGUUCAUGUGGAUCCUUUCAGUGUCAAUCUUCAACUUUUGCAAAGUGGACAGAGGGCAAAUAUUUACACUAGAACCGUUAUCGAUCAGUACCCUUGAGACAGCAGAAUCCUCGCACUUCACUGUGAGAUAAAGGGCUCGGUUGUGUUCUGUACCCUCCAUAGGAAGUUCAUCAUCUGAGAAAGUGAUCAUGUUUGCUUAGAAGAUCUUGUUAGCAAUCUUCUCCAGGUGGUUCACCGUGAUCUUAUCAGGAAUAUGGGCCUCAUUCAAAAUCUUCAUCAGGGCUUUGCGGUGUUCAUCUGAAUGUAUCAGCAAAGACAAAAGAGAGAUCUGAGCUGGUGUUUUCCUUAACUGCUCCAUAAUGGAAUAGUCUUGCAUUUUCAUCUCUUUCAAGAACUCUUCAGCCUCUUCUUCGGUGACCGGCUUCUUUACUGAGAUGUGGCCAUCCUUGAAUGGCUUGGAUUUCCUCAGUUCCUCUAGGUAAAACAUCUCCCAGAACGAGUCAGCCCUCCGGUUUCAUUGACUUCUUCCUCUACUUUUUUCCCUUUAUAUGUCACUAUCACUUGUUUGUAAUUCCACAGGACGACCUUUGUGUCAAUCAUUGGUAACUGGGUCACUGGCUUAAUAAUAACGAAGGUAAUACGAGCCCCUUCCACGAUUAUGACAGGCUUGCCCGGGAUCCCUAGCACGACCACUUUUUGCUUUUCCUGUUUCGCUUCACCAUCAAUCGGAGGCCCUUUCACAACCAAUACAGAUGGCUUCACGUUGAGCGUGCUUAGCUUCUCCGACACCCCUUCAAUUGUCAAAGGCAUUUCUUUUGCAUAAUCUGGAUCUUUAACUGGAUUACUUUCGCUAGCUCAGAUCAUCAUGAUAGACUUGGAAGAAUUAUUGGGCUCCCCAUCCUUAUGAACUAUCUCAAUCAUAUGUGUCUCUGUAUGGGCUGGCAAAGGAUUUUGGUUGAUGUUUGGCACCUCCGGGCUCUGGACCACAAUUUAAUUUGUAUCAAUGAGCUCUUGGAUCGCCUCUUCAAAUGCCAACACUUCUCUGUGUCGUGCCCUGGGGCAUCAGAACAAUAUGCGCAUCUGAGGGAACAAUGAAGGUUCCUUGGAGGUGGAUUUGGUAUCUUUGGCUCAAUCGGCCUCAAAACGUCCAAUUGCCUCAACCUUUGAAACAAAUUGGUAUAUGACUCUCCAAGAGGGGUGAAGGUUUCUUUCCGCUGCUGCCUUUCUUUUCUAUAAUCCGGCCUUGGUCGAAAUCUUGGACCAGUUGGGUUUCGGUAUAGUUGUGGGGGUGGAUAAGGAUUUUGUGGAGUUGGAGCACGCCAUUGCGGGUAAGGAGGGGGUUGCGUAUAUGACUGUGCAUGGUAAACAUGGUAUUAGGAUGGUCUGAGUGAAUAUUCAGGGUCUUGUGGUGGGAGAUAAUGUUGGGAUGGAUUAUAUGGAGCUUGGGUGUAGGCUUGGGGUCGAGGUUGGGUGUACUGGUGAGGCGAAUCCGCUGGGCCACGCCAUGAUCCAGAGACAAACAUAGCGACAUCAUCUUUCUUCUUUUUGCCUAACAGGCUUCCGGUGCCACUUUGAAUUGCCUGUGUGGUUGCUUUUAUGGCGGAGUAGCUCAUGAUCUUGAUUUACUUGAGUCCUUCUUCCACCAUUCCUCCCAUCUUUACCACAUCGUUGAAAGACUUACCUAUGGCUGAGAUCAAAUGGCUAAAGUAAGUAGGCUCUAGGGCUUGAAGAAAGUACUCGACCAUCUCUUCUUCUUCCAUUGGAGGAUUGACCCGUGCAGCUUGUUCUCUCCAUCUGAAACCAUAUUCCCUAAAGCUCUCGCUGGGCUUCUUCUCUACCUUGGUCAAAGAUAGGCGAUCCGGGACAAUGUCUAUAUUAUACUGAAAGUGCCGAGCAAAGGCCUGAGCCAAGUCGUCCCAUAUGUACCACCUGCUAGCGUCUUGGCGGGUGUACCAUUCCAAAGUUGCCCCACUCAGACUCCGACUGAAAUAUGCCAUUAAUAAUUCGUCUUUCCUACCAACGCCUCUCAUCUUGCUGCAAAAGCCUCUCAAAUGGGCCAUGGGAUCUCCAUGUCCAUUGUACAGGUCAAACUUGGGCCUCUUGAAGCCAGCGGGCAGUUGGACAUCAAGGAAUAAGCAUAAAUCCUUAUAAGCCACACUUACUUGGCUUCCUAUCCCUUGCAUGUUAUUCAAAGAUUGCUCUAAACUCUUCACUUUCCUGAAUAUCUCAUCUUGCUCCACGUUACGGGAUUAUUUCUCAGUUUCAACAGGAGGUUCAAAGUGAGGGGUGUAGGGAUAAGGAUCUGUGACUUUAAAAGUUGGUAUCUGGAGCUUGGAACGUAGGUUCACUAGAAGAUCGGUGGAGGGUAGCUUGCGGAGGAGCUACAAAAACAGGAGCAGAUGUCGGGGCAGGGUAUGCAGUUGUUUUGGCUGGUGGAGCGUGGAAAGUUUGGGACGAGGCGUCGGGGUAGUGGUGGUAAGGGGUAAAGCCCGGUGCAUGCUGAGGGGAAAGAUCAACGGUAAUGGGAUCCUGGGCUUGUGACAGUGGUGGGAUGAAAGCGGGAUUUUCUAUGUAGUUAGCGGGGAAUGAAGGUGGAGGAUGCCCCCUGAUCCAUGCUUGAUACAUUUCUGCCAUUUGAUGCUUCAACCUGUGGACCUCUUCUUUCAGUCCAGAUUCGGAUUCUACCAUCUCCCUCGGUGGGUCAACAACUCCCGUAUCUGUUUCUUUGCUGGCCAUGACUUCCUUGCGCUUUGAUCUAGUGUUAUAGGGGUGACUUGCCAGGAUGCCAACAAACUAACCACCUAAAUAGAACCUGUCUUAACAAUGCACACACAAUAACUUGGUCAAUUUUGAAGCAUUUAACAGACAGGGAAUCGCAUAUUGGGGAUGCGAUGCACCUGAGCAGUUAAACGUUUCUAAAUGCUUUGCGACGGCUUAUGUGUUUCAUCCCGGCUCUUUUCCCAAAUUCAAAUCCUGAUUUUCUUGUGCCGUGUUUCACUCUUUUAGUUCUCAUUCUCUCUUUUUUCCUUUUGUUUGGCCCUUUUUUUCUUUCUUCUAUCCUUUUUUCUUUUCCUCUCUUUUUUUCUUCUCUUUUCUUUUAUUUUAAGACUAUGAUCGAAUCAUAUGGAGAUUGCCUACGUAUCAUGAUGCCGCAAGAAUCAGAUCAUUACGUAGUUCAAGGAUAUAAAUACGAAAUGAAAGAAAAUCUUUUGGGUUUUCAAUACUUCAUUAAUAAAGUCACGUCAUCUUUUUUUGUUUUCUAUUACAAGGACUUAAAAGUACUGACGACUACAAAAGAAAACAUACAGACUCGAAAUAAACAGCUUUGAACAAAACUCUAGAAAGCAGUAAAGUACAGACUCGAAAAACUGAAAAGUCAAAAGUACAUGAGAGCCUCCACUAGUACUCUGGGAGCCUGCGAGACAUCAGCUGGUCUUUGCGCGGGCCUUCGCGCAAUGUCUUCUUUAAGGCCGUUUAAGUCAUCUAUUACCUGGUGGACGAAGGUCAUCAUAAAAGCAAAAAAAAUGGACCUAGUCAUGUCUUCACACUCGUGACAUUUCAUCACGACAUAGUGAGCUAUCUCCUUAAUUCUGGUUCUGAUAACUCCUUUUUCUUGAAGCAGACGCCCAAUUUGCUGUGCCCGGGCUUCCAACACUUGUGUGCUGGUAUUGUUUUGGUCCUGUAGUUGUUGCACACUUUCUUCUAGUCGGCCAAUUAGUGCGUAGCAGUGCUCCUUUUCUGUCUGAAAAUCUUUGAUUUGCUGGAUCAUUUCAUUCUCAAGGGCAAACAGCUUUUCCUUUAGAACUGUUAUUUCUUUGCCAUAUUUUUGUCUCAAAUGGUGGGCUUGUUCUUCUGCUCCUUUGGCCAACAUUGUUUGAGCAUUUAGCAAAUUCUUUUCGGCCUUUAUCAAGUCAGUUGCAUAGUCGUGUACCUACAUUCUUAUGUUACUGAUGAUUUUUUCAUAUCUUUCGAUCCUUACAGGCGUUUCGGCGGCUAUCCUCAUGUCCCGGAGUUGGGCUCGGAGAGCCUCGUUCUCUCGGGUCAAUUUUCUCUUUUCACCUUCGGUUACCUGUGCCUGUAAGUCAUUCUCAAAUGCGAGGUUCCUCAACUUUUCCUCUAAGGCGUGAAUGGUGGCUUGAUAUUUCUUUUCCUUUUCUCCCCAGGCCAAAUGCUCUCGGACUUUGUCAUCAAAAGCCUGAAUAUGAGGCCUUUUGGCGGGCCUUUCAGGCUCGGGCUCUGGUUCAUCAUUAAUGCAGUUUCUUCUUUCGAACCAUGUGGCAUAGCCUGGAUCUACUUCUCCUCUUGCAAGAUCGGGCACUUGGGUGUCCUCUUUUAAGUAUCGACAACCAUUCCAGAUUUGUUGGAUUAAAGCCUCGGAAAGUGGGGCUUCGGGGUAUAGCUCAAUAACUUGGACACUCAAAUCUUCAUCCUCAGGCACCACUUGAUAUCUUCCCAAUUGUCUUAGAACCCUUUGCGGUGCAUAUGGUUGGACACUUCUCAAGCCCAUCAAUAGCAAAUCGUUCUUUGUGGUUGUCAUGUGUAUGACUUCCCUCACUUGGAGCCAUCCUAAAGUCCACUCAAUUCGAUUCGCCUUUAAAGUUCUCAAGUGGGCGAUCCAAGAUUCAACCCCUUCUGGAGAGUUGUAAUCUUUUACCCUCUCCUCAUAACUCUCAAUGAAGUUGCUCUUGCUUGGGCUGUAGCUUAUAAAUUUUUGAUGAAGGCGAAGAUGUUCAAUUAACCACAUUUGUAGAAGGAUAUUACAACCUUCAAAGAACGUCGCCCCAGACUUACACCGUGUUAAUGCCCGAUAGAUAUCCGACAAUAUAAGUGGAGCAAGUGUGUGAUCUUCUUUGGCAGUUAUGACUUGUGCAAUUCUAGCCAUACGGAUAUCAAUCGUCCCUUUUUCAUUUGGGAAGACUAUGAUGCCCAGGAAUGCCACUAUGAAAGCAAAGUGACGAUGAAUUUUCCAAGUAUCUUUACUUUGCUUGUUGUUCAACCCCUUUUCAUGCGUUUCAAACCCAUUUGGAUGUCUAUACCUGGAGUACAGGAAGUAGAAAGAGCAACAUCCAUUGUUUAUAUUGUUCUUCCUUAUUUGUUUACUGAUGUUCAAAAUAUCAAAGAACCGGCGCACAGAGGGAGGCCUUGGGAAUAUAAGUUGCUAUUUUCUCAAGUUCCGGCCGAAACCAGUAUAUCCGGCUAUUUCCUCUAGGGUGGGAGUGAGCUUAAAGUCUGAGAAGCGGAAGACAUUGUGAACGGGAUCUCAGAAGGGCACUAAAGUCUUGAUCAGAUCAUUCCGGGGCUUGACCUUCAUAAUAUCCGUAAGAGCACCCAAAUGUUCUACUACCCAGUCUUGACCAUCUUUACCCAAGUCAUACCACCACAUUUGAAGCUAUAGUGGAGCCUGCUCUACAAUAUUUCACGGCGGGUUCUAGACAGUGUUCAUUUUGUACGUGUGAAUGGUUAGGGUUAGGGUUGACUCUAGUUCGGAAGACAGACCAGCAGACUCUUUUGCAAAAACCAGUUUUCAAUUUUGUUUCAAAGGGAAAUCACCUGAAGGUGACUAUUUGUGCGGCGUUGGCCAAAAUGGUCAUCUUUGCAAUAAUGGCCCCUUCCCACUUUCAAAUAAAGUUUUGAGGCCGAGGUAAGACACUUUAUGGGAAAAGUGAUGCCUUAUUGACAGACAUGUCCGUUCUUGACGAGACUAGCCAUUUGAUAAUUUAAAGGUAUUCUAUGGCUAUUCUGGCAAAAACGGCGCAGGACUUAAUCGAAGCUGGGUCGGUUUUAUUUUCUAACCAAUGGACAUACUUUAUUUAUUUGAUUGGAAAAAUUGGGGUCGGUACCGAUGAGAUUUGCUUACGUAUCUCACAUCCGGUGAGAAUCAGACUCGUGUAGUUCGGUCAGUUUUGACAUAAUUGGAAGAGCAUGAUAUUGAUUUACUUUCAUUUUUGAAAUGCAUUUUUUUUCUUUUUUUUCAAAACUUUUGGCAGAGUUUCGAGGCAUUUUCAAAUACCAGGGUUUUCAGAACCGGGUGAAUUUUCUAUCCUACCUCACUCUUGUUUUUUCUUUUAUUUUCUUAACCGAUCAACAAAUAAGCCGAAAUAAAUUCACACAUAGCAGGUAAGAUGCAUCAGGAUGGUCUUUAUUUCGGGUAUACUUGUCCUAGACGGACCCAACCCCUAUGUUGAGUCCCCUAAAUCAAACGCACGUGAUGCAAACAAACGUUCCUACUAGGGAUCUGGCAUAAGGUUAUGUUAUUCUAGGUUUAAACCUGGGGGUGUGUUCUAGACAUGGCUUACCCAAGCGGGACAACUUGAGCCGUGGUGGGAGCGACGUACCGGGAGCACGAAAGUCUACCCGGCCUAAUGGCUGAUCCAUCCUCGUUUUAUUUGGUAUGACCUCUAACAGAAAAGUGGGCCAUACAUACGUGUGCACCAUAUUUUUAGAAGACUCGGAAGGGAGGCGUAAGAAAAUAAUUUAAUAUAGUUCAAAUAAUAUCAAAGCGGUAAAUGAGCGGCAAUUAGCACAUUAGACCCACAAAUACAGUAAUAACGAUCAAUAAAGCCAAGUAAAAAUCACAACAACAAGCUCGAAUUCUUGAACCCUGAACCAGAGAUUCUGGGUUCGAUCCCCAACAGAGUCGCCAGAACUGUCACACCUCAUUUUUCCCGAGGGGGAUAGAGAGUUUUUCCAAUUAAAGUGACAUUAUUCAAAAUCGUAUUAUUUAAUUAUUUCAGAGUCGCCACUUGGGAUAAUUUAUGGUGUCCCAAGUCACCAGUUUAUUUUAAAUCCCAAAUCGAGGAAAUUUGACUCUGUUUAACGUCUGCGAAAAUCAAAAGACCGGGUAAGGAAUUCUGUUAACCCGGGAGAAGGUAUUAGGCACUCCCGAAUUCCGUGGUUUUAGCAAGGUUGCUUUAAUCAUACAUGGAUUAAUUAAAUUGUUUAAUUACGUGUUUUAGAACCUAUGUGCGUUUUACCUUUUACCGCUUUUAAAUUACUUUAUUAUGGCAUUAUGGAAUUAUCUUGAAAAUGAACCACGUGUGUGUGAAUCUGUUUGUUUGGUGUGCCAAAAAUCAUGUCACGCGUACGUGUACACAAUUAAUAACAAUUUAUUAAAAUUGUUCGGCCAAAGUCGCGCGAACGCGUACUUUGAUUUAUUUGGGAAAAUUAUAAUCAUGUAACGCGAACGUGUACACAAUUACGAUAAUAGAUUAAAUGUGUGCCUAAAAGCAUUUCUACAGGUGUUCAUGAAUUAAUUAUUUUUCUAGGAUUUGAGAUUAAUGUGAGGCCAUGAAUCAUGUAUAAGAGUGUGGAAGAAGCGUACAUUUCAACUAAUGAGAGCUAGAAGAAUUAAUUAAAUCUAAGUUGUUGGAAUUGUCUGAUGAUUGAUAGACAUUCACCUUUAAAAGGAAAAUGGGUCAUCCUAUGAACAAAUAAUUGACGCUGAAUCAAUUAUUGAUAGAGUGUCAAACAGACUUGAAUUUCGGCUCAGGUCCAGUUUUAUAAAGUACCUCAUAAUCCCAAUUAUUUCCCCAUUACUACGGUGGCCCAGACUUAUUUGUGUGGCAAUAAUUGCAGAGAAUUAAUCAGACACUUUACCAAGUCAAUUUAUAACACCAAGUCAGCUAAGUUCAUAUCCCAAAACGUAAUAAGCUACAUUUGAAGAAGAAAAGCACUAGUACAAUGGUUCCAAUUAUAUAAAUAAUUUCCUAAUGAAUUACUCAUGCCAUUAAGCUCUUGUGAUUCAAAUUUCAGUCUACUUUGUCUUAAAGUUUACUGCUCAAACAACUGCUUUUAACAUUCAAACGAAUUCAAAAUUGUGACUGAAAAUCUGUACAUAUACGCCUCAAACAGAUCUUUCACCAAGUGCUACAUUCACUAAAUCUCCGUUGGUCUCUAUUACCAAUGAUAGAAAAAUAAAACAACAUGCUUAAACAUUCAUAAUACAAAUUUGAACCAUUUUAUCAAACCAAUACUCAAGAAUUAAAGUUGAACUACCCAUAUAAAGGGAACUUCAAAUUUCAACUAAAUGGAUUUUCAACUAAAUUAUAACUAUAACAAGAAAUAAAAUUACAUAGUCCUGACUGAUUGAGUUUACUACACUUGAUGAAAUGCUAUAAUAACUGUAACCUUCGAUUUCAUCCACAACGCUUGUCAAUUUGACGAACAAUAGCUUACAACAUUUCAAAAUGGCUUGAUUUGGGUUUGAGACUCACAGAUCUGGCCUAUUGAUGGCCAGACCCAUAAGUUGAAGCCAUGACAUAACAUUAUCAGUCCUUCACAAAUAGCUUGACAUGUUGUCUUAACAAACCAUUAGGAAGUCUAUAGAUUAGAAUUCAUGAUCAACAAAUUAUGAUGUGGAGAUGCCAAUAAUAGAAACUAAUAGUAAUACAUGUGCUUAAGGACAUUCAUAACAGCAGCAGACAGGUAAGAGGUGAGCGAAUGUCAAUUCAAGCCAUUCAAACACUUAGAACAUUUCACAAGAAGAUAUAUAACAUCAUGUAAGUACAACGACCAUAUGAAUUUCACAGAUUUCAAGCUCAAAUUGAUUGUGCUAAGCUCAGAAUCAUACAAAGUUAUCAAUGUGUACCUUAAAGCAGCAAAAGUAAGUAGAAGAGAAAAUAAGUCUCUGAAAUUCUGAGAAGAAACAGCAGCAAGAACACAAAGCAGAAAAACCAAAACCACAGCAGCCUCAAACUCAAACCAUGAAUCCCAGCAAAAGAACAGUGGCAAAUGAAAAGAAACACAGCCUGAAUUUUUUUCUUUUGUUUUCUAGCUUUGAACUUAAAAAGGAGAUCAGAUUGGAAAAUGAGGAGAAAGAGUCUUGGAAUAUUUUUUCAGGGCUCUCUUACGCGUCCGAAAAUUCCUGUUUUAGAAUGCAGAAUGAGUCCUAUUAUAUAGGCUAUGUGUGUGUAAUCAGAGAGAAUGAGAGAGAGUCCCAAAAAAAAAAUAGAAUCUGUCAGGCCCUCCCUAAAAUUUAGGAAAAUAGCAUCUUUCAAAACUGAAUUUGGACAGCUGUCCUUGUUUCUAGAUGGUUCUUUUUAUUUCUUACCCUUUAACUUCUGAAAAUUAUUUCUUGUGACACCAACUUGAAAUUAACUCUGAUUUUUUUAAAAAUGCAUUUUAGUCCCUUCUAGAGACUUCCCCAACAAACAAAUCAGAUUCCCUAAUUUUCCAAAUCCCUUUGACCCCUUUAACUCCUAUUAAUUACACAUGAGCCAUAGUAGAAAGAAAUCAUGUAAAUCAGUCCCAAUAAACAAAGAAGCAAAAUUAAUCUAAUUAAUUCAAUAAUUAAAACUAACUAGCAUGCAAUUGAGCUGUUAAAAUCACAUAAACCCUUAAAACAAAACAGACAUGUUGCGCCUUAAAACAAAUAGCCAAAAUGUUAAUUUACUGUUAAUUAACUAAUUACUAAGCUAAACUAAUUAAACUGAGAUAAACGUUCAUCAAACAAGUUCUGAUUAAAUACCUAAAACACAUUGUUCUUCUCUCUCUUUUUUUUUUUUAAUCUUUCUUAAAGCAAACAAAAUAACAAAACAAGAUAAAGAGGGCAAGGAUGUACCUAGUAAAGAAAAACAAAACUACCCAUCUUGAAGCGAAACAAGAGGCUCGUCCGGAUUCCGAUGAUUCCGUAAUGAACUAAAGCUUACAUUAAUUAAUUGUUCUUGACAAGAACAAAUAAUUAAUGUUAGUUUCAACUCAAAACAGCUUGAACUUGAUGAAGGAAUCAGAAAGAACGAAAUUAGGUUUUCUGGCCGUUUUCAGAUCUAAAAUUCGAGGAUUUUGAGUGGUGUUUUAGGAAAAUUGAAGGUAGAUUUGGAUUGAGGAUGAGGUGAGGAGUGUGGGGUGUGAAUUUGGGCGGAUUUGGAGGUCGUUUGGUGGUGCCAGAAUGGCGACCGCCGGUGGAGGUUUGUGGGAGUUUGGGGGCGGCUAGGGUUAGGCUGAGUAAGAGAGAUGGAGAAGUGAGAGGGACCU
rnacentral:lncRNA from 1 species